rnacentral:rRNA from 1 species
UACGAAGGGGGCUAGCGUUGCUCGGAAUCACUGGGCGUAAAGCGCACGUAGGCGGAUUGCUAAGUCAGGGGUGAAAUCCUGGAGCUCAACUCCAGAACUGCCUUUGAUACUGGCGAUCUUGAGUCCGGGAGAGGUGAGUGGAACUGCGAGUGUAGAGGUGAAAUUCGUAGAUAUUCGCAAGAACCCCAGUGGCGAAGGCGGCUCACUGGCCCGGUACUGACGCUGAGGUGCGAAAGCGUGGGGAGCAAACAGG